UUGUGUGUGAGGAGCAAGUUAAAACUAGAAAGCACCAAGAGUGGAAACAAGGCAACACUCUUAGGUGCUUUUUAAU
rnacentral:sRNA from 1 species